GAUACAGUACCAGUCUGGUUCAAUGCUUUUCUCAGCGUCCAGAAGCCCUCUUCUUUCCAUCAGAGUUUCUAAGCCAGCUGAAUUUUUCCAGAGCUCCUUUCCCACCCUGAAAACAGAUGAAAGAGGUCGUCUUCUAAUCAAACUGGAGAUGUUUAGCUAGAAACUCCUUUCCCUGUUAUUUCAAACAUAGCCCAAGCACAGCUCCAGUGUCUGCUGAGGAUAGGUUGGGCAUGGAUGGGAGAGCUGCAGCUAUUGGCGUGGGGCAGAGCAAAUGGCUGGGGCCAUGCAACUUCAGCUGAUGCAGAUGGUGCCUCUUGAACAUUAUCUUGGAGAAAGCAAAAUGUCAGUCACAAAAGAAACCAUUGAACAUGGAGUAAGUUCCAAGAACGGCCCAAAUAUAAUUGUUGUCUUUACUAGUGAUUUUUUUUUCUCUGUGAGUGUUGCUCCAUUGUGGUGAAAAUGGUAGCAAGCUGUACUUCCCCACAAGUUUAGCAGGCAAGAAUCAAGCGUUGGUGCUCAGGUGCAAAGAAGCUGCCAGAUUCGAAGCACAUUCAAGGCGAUGAGAUUCCUUCCAUUGACUUAAAUGAAUUUUGGAUCAAACAUUUGGAAAUACAGGCUGAAAUGUAGCACAAUGUAGUAGAGAAAUGUCAAGUUUGAUUGCUGCUGGAAACAUAAGAAAGCAGUGCUGCUGGUCCAGGGGCCGAGGCAGGAGCUGGGGAGAUUAGCAUGGAGAUGACA
rnacentral:lncRNA from 1 species